CCCCUUUUUUUGUGUGGGGUGCCGACCUUGAGUAACAAACAAAUAAAUCAAAACUUUCAACAACGGAUCUAUUGGUUCUGGCAUCGAUGAAGAACGCAGCAAAAUGCGAUAAGUAAUGUGAAUUGCAGAAUUCAGUGAAUCAUGAAUCUUUGAACGCACAUUGCGCCCGCCAGUAUUCUGGCGGGCAUGCCUGUUCGAGCGUCAUUUCAACCCUCAAGCUCAGCUUGGUGUUGGGACUCGCGGUAACCCGCGUUCCCCAAAUCGAUUGGCGGUCACGUCGAGCUUCCAUAGCGUAGUAAUCAUACACCUCGUUACUGGUAAUCGUCGCGGCCACGCCGUAAAACCCCAAUUUUUGAAUGUUACCUCGGAUCAGUUAGGAUUUCCCGCCGCUUUUAA
rnacentral:rRNA from 1 species